rnacentral:rRNA from 1 species
UACGAAGGGGGCUAGCGUUGCUCGGAAUCACUGGGCGUAAAGCGCACGUAGGCGGACUCUUAAGUCGGUGGUGAAAUCCUGGAGCUCAACUCCAGAACUGCCUUCGAUACUGAGAGUCUCGAGUCCGAGAGAGGUGAGUGGAACUGCGAGUGUAGAGGUGAAAUUCGUAGAUAUUCGGAAGAACACCAGUGGCGAAGGCGGCUCACUGGACCGGUAUUGACGCUGAGGUGCGAAAGCGUGGGGGAGCAAACAGG